AUCGGACCCGAGAGUCUUUUUCUAAAGGCCAGUAUUGGCCACACUUUCUCCUGCCACCUUCCUCAAAGCUGAAAAGAAACAGAGCAAGAACUGGGAUAAACACUGAGAGUGGACAAAGAAAACAGUAGAGAAAAUAUGAUGGGUGAGAGAGAACGCUCUGGCCUGUACCUCAGCCACUGCUCCUGCUCUUCUCCGGUAGAAAUAUCUACAAACAGAAAAAAUGGUCAAAAGUAGCAAAUGGGGAACAAGGAGGAACUGGUACUUCAGGAACCAGGAAGACGGCUUCCCUCUGGAAAUAGGGGCCAGACUGAAGGUGAAUUGCCUCAUGUUUCCCAGUACUUCUUUCAGUGAGUAAGGCCAGGACCUCAGAAUAGGCUAUAAUUGGCACCAGGUCACCAGAGCCAUGAAUUAAAGCUUUAACAAAUUAGAUCUAUCAGUCUAUCACACCUUGGUUGUGUUAACUCUGGAUUCGCUGAGAAAAUGCUAAGAUAGCUCCAAAUCUUUGCAUGGCUUUCCUAAUCCUCAUUGUAUCUUUUUUUUAAUUUAUAGAGAGAUAAGGUCUUACUCUGUCAUCCAGGCUGGAGUGCAAUGGAGUGCUCAUAGUUCACUGCAUACAGCCUCCAACUCCUGGGCUCAAAUGAUCCCCCCACCUCUGACUACAAAGUAGCUGGGACUAUAGGCA